AACGAACGCUGGCGGCAGGCUUAACACAUGCAAGUCGAGCGCAUCCUUCGGGGUGAGCGGCAGACGGGUGAGUAACGCGUGGGAGCGUACCCUUUCCUACGGAAUAGCUCCGGGAAACUGGAAUUAAUACCGUAUACGCCCUUAGGGGGAAAGAUUUAUCGGGGAAGGAUCGGCCCGCGUUGGAUUAGCUAGUUGGUGGGGUAAAGGCCUACCAAGGCGUCGAUCCAUAGCUGGUCUGAGAGGAUGAUCAGCCACAUUGGGACUGAGACACGGCCCAAACUCCUACGGGAGGCAGCAGUGGGGAAUAUUGGACAAUGGGCGCAAGCCUGAUCCAGCCAUGCCGCGUGAGUGAUGAAGGCCUUAGGGUUGUAAAGCUCUUUCAGUAGGGAAGAUAAUGACGGUACCUACAGAAGAAGCCCCGGCUAACUUCGCGCCAGCCGCCGCAGUAA
rnacentral:rRNA from 1 species